rnacentral:rRNA from 1 species
AUGUCUGCCGCAAGGUCCCGCGCCACGUCGCGGAUGCAGAGCCGGGCGCGUGUGGAGAUGCCUGUCUUCGUCUGUCCGUGCUGCCGAGCGAGUGUUGAUCGGAGGGUUUCUCACACACCGAGGAACCGGAAUCGUCGGUUCUAUGUGUGCAAUGAGAAUGGGGUGACAUGCUUCUUUCUUUGGGUCGAUGGUCUGGCCAAGACUCUGAUAAAUGAACUGCAAGAAGAGCAUGAAGAAUGGUUGCACAUGCUACCCCGAACCAUAGUGGCCGCAACACGAGCUCCGGAAGAAGAGAUGGAAGGCAAAGCACGCACUGACAGAGAGCUAGCUGUUGAGCUUAGGAUGUUGAAUAAGAAGGUUAGGAAGCUUGAAGAUCAAGCACUACCAAUACCCAUUUGCAAAUACUUUUCGGCAUUUGUAGGUAUGGUAAUCGCACUGGUUGUAAUGCUGAAAAUGUAUGGAAAGGCAUGA